GACGAACGCUGGCGGCGUGCUUAACACAUGCAAGUCGAACGGAAAGGCCCUGCUUGCAGGGUACUCGAGUGGCGAACGGGUGAGUAACACGUGGGUGAUCUGCCCUGCACUUCGGGAUAAGCCUGGGAAACUGGGUCUAAUACCGGAUAGGAGCCAUUUUUAGUGUGAUGGUUGGAAAGUUUUUUCGGUGUAGGAUGAGCUCGCGGCCUAUCAGCUUGUUGGUGGGGUAAUGGCCUACCAAGGCGGCGACGGGUAGCCGGCCUGAGAGGGUGGACGGCCACCUUGGGACUGGGAAACGGCCCAGACUCCUACGGGAGGCAGCAGUGGGGAAUAUUGCACAAUGGGCGCAAGCCUGAUGCAGCGACGCCGCGUGGGGGAUGACGGCCUUCGGGUUGUAAACUCCUUUCGCUAAGGACGAAGCUUUUUGUGACGGUACCUAGAUAAGAAGCACCGGCUAACUACGUG
rnacentral:rRNA from 1 species